UGGGGAAUAUUGCACAAUGGGCGCAAGCCUGAUGCAGCCAUGCCGCGUGUGUGAAGAAGGCCUUCGGGUUGUAAAGCACUUUCAGCGAGGAGGAAGGUGGUGGACUUAAUACGUUCAUCAAUUGACGUUACUCGCAGAAGAAGCACCGGCUAACUCCGUGCCAGCAGCCGCGGUAAUACGGAGGGUGCAAGCGUUAAUCGGAAUUACUGGGCGUAAAGCGCACGCAGGCGGUUUGUUAAGUCAGAUGUGAAAUCCCCGGGCUCAACCUGGGAACUGCAUUUGAAACUAGCAAGCUAGAGUCUCGUAGAGGGGGGUAGAAUUCCAGGUGUAGCGGUGAAAUGCGUAGAGAUCUGGAGGAAUACCGGUGGCGAAGGCGGCCCCCCUGGACGAAGACUGACGCUCAGGUGCGAAAGGCGUGGGGGAGCAAACAGGAUUAGAUACCCUGGUAGUCCACGCUGUAAACGAUGUCGAUUUUGGAGGUUGUGCCCCUUGAGGCGUGGCUUCCGGAGCUAACGCGUUAAAUCGACCGCCUGGGGAGUACGGCCGCAAGGUUAAAACUUAAAGGAAUUGACGGGGUCUAGCU
rnacentral:rRNA from 1 species